rnacentral:misc_RNA from 1 species
UGUUGCCAUCAAGAAGUUGAACUCAGAGAGCAUGCAGGGAUUUGAAGAGUGGCAGGCAGAAGUUAACUUCUUAGGAAGGCUUUCACACCCAAACCUUGUUAAAUUGUUGGGAUAUUGUUGGGAAGACAAGGAACUGUUACUUGUAUAUGAAUUCAUGCCAAAGGGAAGCUUGGAGAACCAUCUUUUCAGAAGGAGCACAGCUAUUGAACCACUUUCUUGGGAGUUGCGGCUCAAAAUUGCCAUAGGA